rnacentral:rRNA from 1 species
GAUGAACGCUAGCUACAGGCUUAACACAUGCAAGUCGAGGGGAAACGACAUUGGAAGCUUGCUUCCUUUGGGCGUCGACCGGCGCACGGGUGAGUAACGCGUAUCCAACCUGCCCACCACUUGGGGAUAACCUUGCGAAAGUAAGACUAAUACCCAAUGAUAUCUCUAGAAGACAUCUGAAAGAGAUUAAAGAUUUAUCGGUGAUGGAUGGGGAUGCGUCUGAUUAGUUAGUCGGCGGGGUAACGGCCCACCGAGACGACGAUCAGUAGGGGUUCUGUGAGGAAAGUCCCCCACAUUGGAACUGAGACACGGUCCAAACUCCUACGGGAGGCAGCAGUGAGGAAUAUUGGUCAAUGGGCGGAAGCCUGAACCAGCCAAGUAGCGUGCAGGACGACGGCCCUAUGGGUUGUAAACUGCUUUUAUGCGGGGAUAAAGUGGGCCACGUGUGGCCUUUUGCAGGUACCGCAUGAAUAAGGCCGGCUAAUUCCGUGCCGAGCAGCCGCGGU